rnacentral:lncRNA from 8 species
CACACUCUGACCUAGGAGAGCUGUGUUGUCUCUGUUUAGUUAGGUCAGGGUGUGAUAGGUGGGUGGGCAUUCUAUGUUUUGUUUUUCUAUGUUUUGGCCGGGUAUGGUUUCCAAUCAGAGGCAGCUGUCUAUCGUUGUCUCUGAUUGGAAGCCAUACUUAGGCAGCCUGUUUUUCCCUUUGUUUUCGUGGGUAGUUGUUUUCUGUUUCGUUUAAGUACCUGACAGAACUGUCGGCUGUCAUUUUGUUUAUUUUGUAAAGUGUUGGUUUUUUCAUUAAACUUCAAGAUGAGCACUCAACACGCUGCGCCUUGGUCCCCUUUAUAUGAUGCCCGUUACAAACGACCUUACAUUACAUCCUCAGGUCACAACCUUUAGGGGUGGAGGUGAGAACGAUUACAGACUUAACAUCCUACAUAAAUUGCUCAGAGAACAUACCUUGGAGGAAAACUCACUCCAGCCCUGAACAGAACUUGGAAAUGUAUGCCGGCAGAAACAAUUGGGCUUUCCUGAAACUCUGCCAAAGUGAUGAUGUGCGUCUGUCUGUUUCCCUGACGUAGUCUGAUGAUGUCAUCUGAUUGUUUCUCUUAUCAUGAUCCUGGGUUGAAACUGAUACUCCCUGUACUCUGAGAUGUAAUCCUAAUCAUAUCCCAAAAGCCCUAAUGUUUAUAAUGUUAAACAUAAUGUUUGUACAAAUGUACGCACGCAUGCACGCACUGAUACACAUACACACCCACACCCACACCCACACCCACACCCACACCCACAACAUACACACACACAUUCCAGAUAUGGCAUGGGUGAACUUUCCCUCAACUCCAGGGAAAUAACAGGCAAAACAGGGAGCUAGCCAAAGGGAAAUUCCAGCCAGGGACCGAGGAGUGUCUUUACACGGCAGGAAUGUACAGCCCAAAUUUAUAGAGUCAUAGUGGACAAAUCCUGCCUGGAGACUAUUACAGUCCAUCUCACGGACAGGAAGACAGACUUUCAUGCCUCUACAGGAUGUGGUGACACCCCUCAUGGGCACCGCCCUGCGCAUACUCCCCAUCCUCAAGGAUAUCUCAUCAAGAGCUCCCCUAACAAACUUCUGCCUAACGAGACACCCUGAUAACAAGGGCUUCCCUAACAAGGGUCUCAUUAAUGAAGGAAAAUGCCAGGACUGUCCUCAUCAGAAUGUGCAUGCAGGAAAACAAACACAAGACAAUCAGGACAAUCAGGCUUGGGACGUGACUUCCCCCAUCUCCCCACCAGUCUCUUCCCCCUCUGGACCCCCGACCGGAGUGACACAAAGCUGAGGAUGGGAGAGCCCAGGAGGAAACAUGCUCCUCUCUCCUCCAGACCUUCUGAAGACCUACAGUAGAUCCAUCUCAGGCUGUUUGCUCAGGAGGCUAGAGCCAACCGCAGCCGGAAACCAGGAGGAACACACCGACCUGAUUGUACAGUAAGGAGGAGGAGGAUUGUCUACUGUAUUAUCAUUAAAAUCAACCACCAUCCAGGAAGUACAAUAAAUUCCUUCCUUUAUUGUAUAUAUCCAUGUUAUAUCACAUAAACCAAACUCAUCUUGAGAAACACUUAUUGCAGUGUUAGAAGAGCCUGAACACCUUCACUUCACUGGCAUUACUUGGAAGACAACACAUUGAUCAAAUACACGUACAAUACAAUCAAACUACACCCAAUCAAAUACAAAUCUUAUUCUUGUUCUCCUCUAAUAUUUUCAAAAUUCUGUCUUCUAUCCUGGGAGGUCUGAUCAGUCUGUCUUCAAUGUGACUGCCUCUGUUGUUUCAGGCUUCACAUUUGGAGAGAGUUUGGCAUUUAUAUGCCAGCUGAAUUGAAUUAAUAGCCAGUAAACAAUGUGCUUUAGACGUGAGUAAAAAAACGUUCAAACCCGUCUGACACACAUGCUGCUGUUUAGCCCUUAAUUUGCCACCUGUAGCAUGUAAACAUUUUAUAUUUUAAGUAGCAAUUGUGCAACAAUAUUGCAUUUUAAAAGCCUGUUAAUUAAAUGAAGUGUUCUUUAAUAUAGACCACACUGAUAAUUCAAUAAAAACUUGCUAAAGAGUCAAAAUGUCCCUCUGUCAACCCUGUGUCACUUCUAGGAAGAUUUUAACCCACUUAACCCUAAGAUUUCUCCAAAUUUCACCAUCAUUGUAAAGCCCUAGUUGUUUUGUUGCUUUGACACAGCCAUUUCUGAAGAUUAUUAUUUAUUUCAUGUGAUUAGUGUUUAAUUUUCAUCUGUACAUCAAUUUAAGGUCAACCUUGUUACGUGAACUUAACUCACGUUUGAAUAUGUUGAAACUAUUAUUUUUUAAAUAUUUUUUUCAAAAUACAUUUUUAACAACUAAUAGUAAACUUUAGUGCAGAAGCAGGUGAGUUGGUUUUACUCUUUUUGGCCAUUUGCUGGUGUUUUGUGGUAGAAAACUGGGCACGUCAAGCAUAACACGUCAACCCAGUUACCCAUAGAUAGGCAGGCUAGAAAAGUUUGAACAUUUUCACUUUAUUUUAAGUUUGCAUUCAAUUUCCCCUUGUUGCACAUAACAAGCUUUCAUUCCCCCUGUAACAAGGGGAUUUAUGGCUGAUUUAAGAUUAAAUCCUCAACCCCGUUAUGGUCAACCCUGUUAUGGUCAACUUUGUUACUUUAUUUGGCACAUAACAGGGACUUGCUAUUAUCUUUUUUUUUUUUUCUUGAGAUGGAAAAACGUGUUUUUUAUUAAGUUGAACAUAUACUCUUAUGACAGCUUGUUAAAAUUGAAACCAAACAUUGAUUUUUUUGUUGUUGACAAAGUUACACUUCUCAAAAGGCACCAAAUUGGUGGAUCGACCGUACUACCGCCACCUCAAGGUGGGUCUGAAAUAACUACUGAGUCCUCAUAGGAGGAACUUCUGAGUUGAAACCAUAUUAAUGCAUCGGUGAAAAACAUCCAUCCAGACUCAGAUCUGGAAAAAUAAGCAUCAAGGCAUAUUGCUUAAUAUUGUGGACUUAAAGGGGUUGGAUUUCUCAAUCGUAAAGCUCAAUACUUUGAAAGAGCCAGAAUAAUCAGACUAAUUAAAGAAUGAGAUGGAUUAGACUACUACUUCUAUUGAUGCCAGUGAACUUUUCAUUGCCCUAUGCAUGCAGUCGACAGGGAGUUUCCUCACAUUGUGGUUGGAUUUGAACCAGCUAGGCCAUGCCAUGCCAUGCCAUUCCAUGACAUCGUUAGUAGAGUAAGAUAUAUCUUGGCAGAGUAACCUAACUAUAACCACUUUGGGGCAGAGAAGGAGAGCAUCAUGGUUGGAUAGAGGGCUGGAUAGAAGGCUGGAAACUGAAGUGAAGGAAAACAUAUCACAGCCCUCUCCCUGGGGAAAACAAACUAAUGAAACAGGGACUUUUAUGAGGACAACCAGUGACCAGUACCCCUGAUGUUGACUAAGAUGGGGCCUCAGUACUGCUUAUGAGGUAGUAAAAUAUGUUUACAGUAAAGGUAAGGAAUGUGGAGGCGUAUGAGUAACAGUAAUAUGUUUCACACCCCUGUAAGAAUGUGGCUGGGGAUCUGAGACUAUGACUAGGGCUGUGAGACUGUUGCUGGGCCUCUGAGCCUGGGACUGGGGCUGUGAGACUGUGGCUGUGAGUCUGGGGCUGUGAGAGUGGGACUGAGACUGUGAGACUGUUGCUGGGCCUCUGAGCCUGGGACUGGGGCUGUGAGACUGUUGCUGGGCCUCUGAGCCUGGGACUGGGGCUGUGAGGCUUGGGCUGUGAGUCUGGGGCUGUGAGUCUGGGGCUGUGAGGGCUGGAGCUGUGAGGCUGUUGCUUGGCUGUGGCUGUAAGGCUGGGGCUGGAGCUGUGAGUCUUUGGCUGGGGCUGUGAGGCUGUGUCAGGUGUGUCAUCUGUGUUGUGAAAUUAAAUCUGAUGAAGGCCAUCGCUAGAGCUAUCUCACGUCUAACACUUCGCUUCUUCUUCUUAUUCUGAGAGAGAGAGAGAGAGAGAGAGAGAGAGAGAGAGAGAGAGAGAGAGAGAGAGAAAGAGAAAGAGAGACAGAGAGAGACAGAGAGAGGGAACUCUCCAGUGAGUGUUAGCUGACAAAAACAUCCCAAGCCUGAAAUUACAGAAUAAUUAUUCCUAAAAUUGCAUCCCAAAUGGCACCCUAUUCCCUAGUGCACUACUUUUGACCAGAGCCUUAUCAAAAGUAGGUUAGGGACGUAGCCCUCAAGCAGGUGGACAGAUGUGAAUUAAAGAAAAUCAACAGAACUACCAGCAAGUGUUUCACAGUUUUCAACAGAAAGGGAGGGGGAGAGAAAAGCAUAAUUUCUCUAAAUACAAAAUUGUUCCUAAGGUUCAGAGAUAAUGAUGUGCUUAGCCCUGCCCUCUGUUUUAUUUAAACUGCAGAUAAUCAGUUAGGACUUCUAAACAAAAUAAAUUAGUUAUUGUAACUUUUGCAAUUCUUCAUAUGGCAUCCCAGUAAACACACACUUACUCAUGUAGCCCUUUCCUACAGUCAAAUUAUUUAGUGGCCUCAUGGGUGGAACAUUAUUCAUAUUUUUCAUAAUUUCAUAAUUAAUAAACAUGAUUCUUUUUUAAACGUAAAAAAUCUGGUGUUUCUAUGUCAAAUGGUUUUGUUAUAUUUCAGUCUUCUGUGAUGUAUAUAAAGUGUAAUAUUGGGAUGCAAACUAAAAAUGUAAUACAUUUCAACUCUGUAUCUGACAUGGUACAGGUGUCUUCUUUUCUUUAAGCCCAUAAACAUGUGUGUGAGGUGUAUACUUUUGUCUCAAAGUAGAUUUGUUUAAGACUACCAAAAAACACUCUGUGUGAUCCUGAUUUAGCCCACUGCAGUAAAAGGUUAAACCCUUUUGCUCUUUGGGGAGCAUAGGUCAUUCACAUAAUUCCUAAACACAACCACUACACAAUGGUAUCUCAAUUUUGACUCCAAGUUGUGACCAUAUGUCGCCCUGUUACACUACAGGUUAUGUUACUUUCUCGAUUCAUCGUCCUGAUGCUUUUGUUGUAAAUACAUGUAAAUACGGCGCCUUAAAAAAAGCCUUUAACCUGGGCAUUUCACUGUGAAUCUUCUCUGCCUUCUCACUAAAAAAACACCACUGCCGAGAGCACCAUUUCAUAAUGUCACCUCAUGGAAAGUCAAGAAUAUUCACCCUCUUAACCUCAGAGAAACAACCUGUAUUAUAUAGAGCAGACAGGUAGAUUUGUAUCCAUUCAACCCACCCUGGACUCUUUACAAAUAGUCUUUACUGUACCCCUGUAGUAGGACACUACUUCACCACCUCUAAAGCUCUAAAUAGGGCGUCUGAGAGAAUGAUGUUUAGAUGGAGUCAUGAGGAAAGACAGACAUGUAAAACAAACACAGUGUAAAUGUUUAUUGGCCCCAACCUUGCUCAGGGCCUGUGUGUGUGUGUGCGUGCGUGCGUGAGUGCACGCGCGCGUGUGUGUGUGUGUGUGUGUGUGUCAAUGGAGAGGCUGUCAUAUCCUUAAGCUUUACAGCUCUCUUAGAGGCUCUUACUCAAGGCUCCCAUUCACCAUGACAACCACUUACUCUAACUCAAGUCAAUGUGAGAAUAACAUAUUACCUUUCUUGUCCCCCGGUGCAUACCAUGCUACCACAGCCCACCAUCAACUCUACAGCGGUAACGAAACCCGCAGCCCAAACCCAUAAAUGUCGGAUUGGUGUUUGCUCUCAUCGGCAUGUGUCCCACUGGACACAUACUGGUUGAAACGUUAUUUCCACUUAAUUGAAAUAAGUUACUUUGAACCAUUGUGGAAUAGACUUUGAAUAGACUCUGUGCCCAGUGAGAUGUGACUGAGCCUGAAGUGGGUCAGAGCCACAGAAAACACUGCUGGAACUUCUAAGGAUACAUUUUUCACAUUCUUAUAAAUCAUAAUAACUUGGAGAUUGGACUACGGAUGAACUCUCUUCAAAUCUUUUAAACCUUUGACCACAGCAGGGCACAGAGUCAAAAUGCUUUAGACAAGAGUGUGUGUGCGCGCAUAUGCAUGUGUGUAUGUGAGAGUGAAAGAGAGAGAGAGAGAGAGAGAGAGGCAGUAGCCUAUAGAUGUGGUAUUGGUCUCUCCCACAGUCCCC